rnacentral:rRNA from 1 species
GUGAGGAAUAUUGGACAAUGGGCGCAAGCCUGAUCCAGCCAUGCCGCGUGUAGGAAGACGCAUCUAUGGUGUGUAAACUGCUUUUGUACGGGAAGAAACACUCCCUCGUGAGGGAGCUUGACGGUACCGUAAGAAUAAGGAUCGGCUAACUCCGUGCCAGCAGCCGCGGUAAUACGGAGGAUCCAAGCGUUAUCCGGAAUCAUUGGGUUUAAAGGGUCCGUAGGCGGUUUAAUAAGUCAGUGGUGAAAGCCCAUCGCUCAACGAUGGAACGGCCAUUGAUACUGUUAGACUUGAAUUACAAGGAAGUAACUAGAAUAUGUAGUGUAGCGGUGAAAUGCUUAGAUAUUACAUGGAAUACCAAUUGCGAAGGCAGGUUACUACUUGUGGAUUGACGCUGAUGGACGAAAGCGUGGGGAGCGAACAGGAUUAGAUACCCCUGUAGUCC